CUAUAGUCUAAUACGGGCGUAAGAUCCCUCGUCUGAAAGAAAAUAUGAAGGAAUUGUAGGGAGAAUAGAAAGGAUCCUCCAUGGAUCCUCUGUCAUGCGCUUUAAACCGUCAGUGGAUUUUGACAUAUAUGUAGCUCCUACGUUACUUCAGGCAAGCGCUGUAGCGUGGAAAAUUCUCCCAAUCUCGCAGCACUGUUCUAGCCUUGAACGGCUUGAUGCUCCUCCCAUAACGUCUCAGCGCGCGCUGCUACAUUCCUAACGUAUCUCCGUAUCUUUCCAGCCCUAGUCUGUUUAUCUAUAUCUCGAACAUUCCUAUCCCUUUUCAAAUAUUGCUUUAUGAUCAUAUCUGUUUUUAUUACCCCAUCCUUUUUUUGAUAUUAGUUUUGCUCUAAACUUCUCACGAAACCGUUAGUCAGUCUCCAGUUGUCUUCCUAUCUGUAAGGAACACCUCCCGCUCCUUUCGUAGCAUAUUCCUCUCGUAGUGUAUAUUUAAAUAUACCACGUGUCUCAAAAGUAACGGACACCCUAAUAACUCUUUAGUAUUGAAGUUUCGAGAAAAAUGAUCUGAUUAAAAGGUGUAGAAAUUUAAGUGAGCUACCUUAUGAUGACCUUAACUUUGACCUCGACCUCUAUUUUCAAGGAUGCGUUCGAAAACGUCACUCGGUUGCACCCACUGUGUUAGUGUGCGGAAGAUACGAAAGUGAAAGCACCCAGUACUGACAGAGAAUAUCGAAACGCGACUCAAUGUGCGCGGAUGUAAUAAUGCGUUUUUUUGCAACUUUUGGAACGCAUCCCGAGAAGAUGAGAGUCACUGCUCCGCCUGCGGAGCACGCCUGCGCAGUGACUCACAACGAAAGGCGAGAAAUGAAAUAUACACGAUGGGAUAUAUUAUAAUAAUACAGACUCAGAUGAAAUGAAUAUUCCAGCAUUAAAUGGAAAUGAAGGAACACAGAACAGACAAGAAUCAUCCGAUGUAAGUCUUA